rnacentral:lncRNA from 1 species
AGAAAGGCUGGCUCCCCACAGGCUCGCUAAUUUACUUCAUCAAAAGAGGUGUCAUGAAUCUACCCAGCUGAGCUUGAGCAGUAUUGUGAGUAAUGCAGGCAAAACUAUAUAUCAGAGGAACUUUUAUGCAUCUUUUCUGUCAAAUGGAGAGGAAUACCAGUAACAAAGAUAUGCUUCUGGCAUCUUGAUUAAGGCCUUCACUUAGGAGUCUAGC